AGUUCACUCUUUAGUAUAAGUACAUUAUACAUUUAGUGUAGUACAGGUACAUUAUGAAGUGUAAUGUUUACUAAAGCUUUUCUGUAAAAUCUUUCUCAGGCUAAGAACAUUUUUUUUUUUUACUAGAAUAUAAUAUUAACAAAACAUAUUCUAGAAAAGCGUAAAAUUUACCAAAUAUUUAGAUUUUUAAUUUAAGCAUCAUGGAGAGAAAUGACGCUCUCAUGGUUGAAAUGCAGAGGCUGGAGGCACAGAUGUUCUUAGAGCUGCUAUAUUGUUUGAAUCAACAGUGACGUAUAUAAGCAAAAUUCCACAAAACCACAGAUUUAACUGCCAUUAUUAUUCAGAAGUAUCUGGUGUUACUUCUGGUGUAACAAAUGGACUAUUGUUAGGAUAAAGAAUAUCCAUAUGAAAAAGUGCUUUACAUAAAGUAGAAACUUAAAUAGUAACAUAAUCUGGGUACAAUCCAACAAUAAUAAUUAGAGCUUUGCUUUCCUGGAAUACUAUGUGCUAACCCUAUUCUAAGGGAUUUAGAUAGAGAUUUCACUGAUUUCAAGAGAAACGUUUGUCUACUUGUUCAAAUUUUAGUAUCUGAAACUGCAAUGUAUCUUACAUUAGAUAAGCAUAACUUAAUUUCAGCAUUAUUUAAUAUUAGUGCAUUAAAAAGUGUAUGUCAUUACCAAUGGCAUUUUAGAUUUAGUGACAUUUUGUAUAAUUUCAUGAAACACUAGACACUAUGGAAUCAUCUAUAGUGUAAGGUCUACAAAAGCAGGAAAUUCUAUUUUAGUUACUCUUAUAGGAGUCACUUGAUAAAUAUAUGUUGAAUGAGUUGUCCAAUGAAAUAAAUAAAGGCACAGCAUUCUAGCAUCAUUCGAGGGGCAAUAGUUCAUCCUGUGGCCUCAUAACACUUGAGCAAUGAUGUGGACAUCACUUGGAAAUGCUCAAUUUAAUCAGGUAUGUUCAUAAUGAGGGCUUCUCAUUUUUCUGUGAAAAUACUAAAAUAUACUGUCUUUAGGGAGGAAGCAAACAAUGUAAUAAAAUAUAGAAAAAUAGUUAAGCAUGAUUCAAAUUAAAAGCCCUGGAAUUUAUAAAAAUAAGCUUUAUUUGUUAGGGAAAAAAUUACAUUGUGUAACACUCUAUUCCCCAUGAUUCCUAGUAAAUAAGACAAUAAACCCUUUAAGAAGAACUUUGUCAGAAACAAAGGAUCACUAUUUCCCGAAGAGCUGCAAAAUACCAUAGGCCAGAAUUAAUACAGGUGAUAACUGAGGUCAUAAAAGCCAUUUAGACAAGUUGAGUUGACAAUGAUCUAAGAAGGGCCAGGCCACUCUCCUGUGCCCCCUCCCUAAGCAGCUGCGCAUUGCUUUGCUUUGACAACCUCCUUCCCAUGCACCCCAUCCCACACCCACAGCCCUGCUUGGAACUCUCCUAAGUUCCAGACUCACGUACUCGGCUGCCUCCUAGAGCCCUCUACCUGGAGACGUCCAGAACACUUUGAGUUCAGUAUGCUCACAAGUGAAGUCAUAAAGAGCCAAGAGUGCAGGAUUGGGGUCAGGCAGCCCCAUUUCUUAGUUAUGCAUAGACUUCUUAGUUUACUUGACCCUCUUCAUUUUCAGAUUUCAUUUCUGUAAAAUAGCAAUGGGCUUUGUAGAAUUGCUUUUAGAGUAUUGUAAGAUAACUUAGGUAAUACCUCUAACAAAGAGUCAAACAGAUAUUGGACAUAUAACCAAUAUCUGGUACCGGCUUUCCCCUCCUUUCACAAGCUUAAUGGCAAUGCAGUUAAGUCAAGGACCUGGAUCAGAAUUACGGCAUGAGGAACACACUCCAUGUUUGUGCACACCCAUUCCUGGAUGACUUUUCAAGGGUCUUCUCUUUUCUUCCACCUGACAACAAGUUCUCCAACUUCCCUACUUGGAAGUGGCUGCCUGCCAUGAGAUAAUCCCCUUUCUAAUUUGUCCUCCCAUGAACAAUGCACCCAAGGAGUCCUUCCUCUUACUCCAUGUCUCCUUGAGCCUGCAGAAUGGAGCUCAAGUUUCCUAGAGCAGCCACGGUUCCCGCACCACCUCCCCUUCUGCCUUGUGGGCUGCCAAGCCUGCGUCCACCGUGCGCAUGAACUCCAGCAUCAGGAAGUUUCAUGCGUGUGCCCCGUGCUCCUAUCUGGGCUCACGUGAACGUGCUCUUCUCUCUUUCUGAAAUGCCCCUUUCCUUUGAGCGAUUGUGGAAAUCCUCCUCAUCUUUUACAACUAGUCUCAGAUGCACCCUCCUUCCCGAAGCCUCCUCCGAAUGGCCUGUCUACACAUGGCCCAAACUUGGUUUCAGAUCAUUAAAAUAGAAGGACAAAAAUGAAUGGUGUGCAGGGAACACACAGACAGCCUGUGGCAUGGUUGGAAGCCGUGGUCUGAUCUAUGGCGAGUCCUGAGACCACGACUGUUCUAUGAUUUUUGCUGCAGCCCUGAGAACCCUGUAGGUCUGCUCAGGCAUCUUGCUGCUCUUGCGAUCGAGCCCUUUGUUUCUCUGCCUAUCUUGUUUCCUGCUUUUCACUUUCUUGUUCUCACCUGGCUGAUUUGUAAAUAAUAAAGUAACCGAAGUUAGACAAUUCCAGCUACUUAAGAUAACUGUGUUUCCAGGGAAUCUGUUUCAUGUGUAGAGAGGAAAAAAUAAGUAGUCACAAUCCUGGAUUUUCUAUGUGAAUCAGUUUGCUUAGAGAGCAGCAGCUGUUAAAAUAUACAUGUGAUAUUUGAGUUCAAACGGGAGCAGAAAUUAUACUUAGUGUGGGCCAAAGAAAGGCAUUUCAAUGACAGGGCUCUUUCAUCUGGAGUGGCGUGCCUAAUUCUGAUUUAGAGAAAAGCAGGUCUGAUCUUGUGCGGUGGAAAAGGAGGCCUGGGGCUGGGCAUCAGAAAAUCAGCUUUCAGACACUUCCUCCAGGUUGUAGCUGAGAAACUUGAGGCUCUUUAGUGAGAUGAAAAAAUAGUAGGCGUCUCAUCCAGCACAGAACCAUAUUGUCACAGUGUACACACAGAUGGCUGAAGGCAGAAAACACCACACCAGUUCAGUUCCCCCCAGUGAAACCUAUCUUGCCUUGGUGGAAAGAAGUCACCAAAUCUGAAGGUUUAUCAUGAACAGGCAAAAGAGUUUCACUUGUUUUCAUGACUCAAAACAUUUGGCUUAAACUGCAUAUCUCUCCAUUUUAAAUGUAAAUUAUAAUAGGGAAACAGGAGGGAAAUAUGCAAGAUUCUGGAAAACCUGAAGUUUCCAUGUUUAUCUUUUCUUUAGUUCCUUGCUCUUUAGAGUCAACCAACCCAUUCCCUAGAUAUAGUUAUAAAAAAUGGCUGGGGUAAGAAAAACAAGUUCGGUGAUAUUUUUAAAACUGUAUGCACAGUCACUUGGAGACCCUUGAAUGAUGUUAGGAGACUGAGCUUCCCAUACUCACUGGGACACACACAGUUGCUCUUGUUUGUAAGAGAGGACGCUUCUGAAGUGUCAUUUCCUCUGUUGCUAGUAUCGGCCUGCCUUCCCCUUGACCCCUGCCUUGUGGUCACCACUGUAUCACAUGUCCACACCCUUCCUUGGCUGGGGCCCUGGAAGCCAGGGCAUACUGAGUGGGACAGCUGGCAGGGGCUCGGGCUGGUGCGGUCACUGACAAAGAAUCCUCCUCCAGCCUGUCAGUGGCAACUCUGCAGCUGUUGGCCCACAUACCUGGCAUACCUCCAUCUCCAGGCAACUGCUGGGUGUGGGCAGGGAUCCCAGCAGCACCCACUGGCGUCGGCUGCCUCCCACAAUGCCAGCCCCCAGGUAGCCAAGAGGAGUCAUCCAGGUGUCGGGGAGAGAAGCUGAGAGAAGCAGCGAGGGCGGUGGUUGUGGGAGAGAGGAGGAAGUUGGGAGGGUCACCCACACACUUACGGAAAGCUUGGUGCAAAGAGAAAGAGACCGCCUUUCAAAAACAGCCCUGCUCUACCAUCCUGAACCUAGUCCCGAUCAUGCCUUGAAAAAAUAGAUUCCCAAGUGGGUCUUGCCUAAAUAAUGUAAGUGGACGUGGGAAAAGCACGGACUUGUCAGCAGUUUCAGAAGGUUCCUUGCUGCUGGUGACUUUGGAAAACUCCCUUAACCAGCGUGAGCCUCCAUGUCCUCCUCCAGAGCAGGGGACUGUGUACCUUCCCCCAGGGAGGCCUGGAAGGAUUUUGUUGGGUUUUCCUGAUAAACUCACUCAGUGGAUGAAAGGGGGGAUGUUUGUAAAGUUGUCAUAUUUAUGUUGAAUGUAAGAUCACUGAACUCUCACUGAUAUGCAGAAAUCAACCUUAACGAGCGCUAUCUGCAACACAAGAGAUUUGUUUUCAUGAGUACACACCUAGACGAUGAACCUGUGCACACGACUUCACACUUUAAAAAUGUCUCUUUUUUAUCUUGCAGUUCUUUAAAUACUAACAAGAAUGGUUUUUAAAAGUGUUUUCAAAUGUGAAAAAAUACAUAUGACAUAAAAUUGAUCAUUAACCACUUAAGAUGUGCGCAGGUCAGUGGCAUCAUGCACGUUGACAGUGCUGUGAAGCCAUGACCACCAUCCAGCCACAGAACCCUUUCAUCUUGCAAAAUUCAAACCCUGCACCCACUGAACAACAACCCCAUUUCUCCUUCCCUCCAGCCCCUGGCAAGCACCAUUCUAUUUUCUCUUGCUAUACAUUUGACUAUUCCAGGUACUUUAUAUUACUUUUAAUGGCAAAAACCACAAUAACUUCGCACCAACCUAAAAUGAGUUGAAUCGUGUAGUAUUUAUUUGUUUGUUUGUUUGUUUAUUUUUUUGACUGGCUCACUUCGCUUAGCAUAAUGUCCAUUGUUUAUUAUCAGCAAUUACAUUUUAAAAUUUCUAAUCUUAGAAAAAGAGGCAUACUGUUGUCAAUGAGAGGUCAGCAGUUUCAGAAUAUAUGAAUAGAUGACAGACACAAUAGACUUAAAAAUUACUACCAUUCGUUGUGCCAAGAAAACUUGCAAAAGUGUUCUUUCUCUGAUGUAAGCAUGCCAAAGGUCUGAAUGUGUACACAUGUAUGUUACUUCCCCCACUCCUCUUUUCUUUCAUUUUUAUCUUUACUUUUUUCUAGGUAAGGACCGAUUUUAUUGUGGGGUGAAAAGUAACAUAGAGCUGUACAUUUUAAAGUGACUUGUAUUCUCUAUGUUAAGCUCAGUAAGUUGCCUCUGCUGCAGGUUGUAGGUAUCUGUGUUUAGCCCUGCAUACUAUCUGCCCAUUUCCCCUGCCUUUAGCACAGCUUGCUUCUCCCCAUCCCCACAACCCUGCCUAAUUCUACUUGCUUUCUUUGACUCACUCAUGAAGAUUAAGUAGGUACUAAGUAAAAUACAAGUAUUUUACUUAUAUCUAAAUCUCAUGCCUUUUUAACAAUAUCAAUAUUACUUUUCUCACUUCAGAGAUAAGGAAACUGAGGCUCGAAGAUCUUAUGUAACUGCCUAUAGCCUAGCAUCCAUCUCAAUGGGCGUCAAGAACUAGAUCGAGUGUGUUUUGAGACAAAUCCCAGAGGCUGCCCUGCACAGGAUGUGGCAAUCAUCACUGCCUUAGUCAUCUGACUUUUGGUUUUUGUUUGUGUGCUUGUUUGAGACAAGAGUCUUGCUCUGUCACCCAGGCUGGAGUGCAGUGGCACAAUCACUGCCUCCUGCAACCCUUGCCUCCUUGGUUCAAGUGAUUCUCCUCCCUCAGCCUCCCAAGUAGCUGGGAUUAUAGGUAUAUCCCACCACACCCAGCUAAUUUGUGUGUGUGUGUGUGUGUGUGUGUGGUUUUUUUUUUAGUAGAGAUGGGGUUUCACCAUGUUGGCCAUGCUGGUCUCGAACUCCUGACCUCAAGUUAUCUGCCCACCUCGGCCUCCUAAAGUGUUGGGAAUACAGGCAUAAGCCACCAUGCCCGCCCCUGACUUUUGCUUUCUAUUGGGCUUACCUGUGUAUUCUCACACUCUCGGGAGAACUCAACACUCCUGAAGAACACAGCCCAUGACUCCUCAUUUCUGUCUCCUGGCAAAGGCUAGCACAAUAUUUUGUGCAAAGGUUUUGCUUUCUUAAUGAUAAGUGAAUGAAAUAUGGAAAAGUUUUAACAUAAAAAUAUAUUCAAGUUAGCAUUUUGCCUGAAAUUUAUACUUAAUUACAUCUAGGAAAUUAAGUGUACAUGAUCAACAUAUAUGUAUAUAUCAUUUUCCUAUUUGAGUACUGACAAGAUGGAGGAAAGGCAAGGAAAAGCUGGAGAAUUUGAAAUAUGCACGAGGUCAUUUCCAUUCCAGAAAUAGGAGACAUAAAGUAGAGGUCGAGAUCAUUGACAGUGGGCUUUCUCGAGUCGGGUAGAGAAGGGGUCAGUCCUUCUAGAGCUGGAUCCAACCAUGUGUGGCUCUCUACCCAAGGGUAUCCACCUGCUCUCCAUUCCCUCAUCUGUCCACUGGGGUGCACACAGCACCUCUCAUGGGAAUUAAAAACGGUGGUGCCUGAGCAGCUUUCAAGGAGCCAGUGGCACUCGCUGCUCAGUGCACAUGAGCUAGAGAGGAGUGGAGGCCUCAGCACAGGGCCUGGUACUAACUCGAGAGAUAUUUGUUGUGCUCUAUACCCAGCAGAUACUGAGUACAUGCUCAAUGUUGUCAUUAUUUUGAUAGAUAUUUUCUUAAAUCUGGAUUAUCAUCCUUCAGUUUGGAUAAGACAGACAAUAUUGAUGGGUUGGGGUACUUUGUCAAAGAAUGUAAAGAAAGAUAAUGUGAAGAAAGGCAAUUUUGUGAUUAAAAAGGAAGCUUUAUUCUUAGAUUUGUUAAUAAGUGUCUCUUACUGAAUUAUUUGCUUAUUAGGCAAAACAGUGAUAUCAUUGAAUCAUUCUAAAAUUCCUUCCCUUUUAUGUCUUGAGGUUAUGAACACAUGUAAGGCACCUCACCUGGCAUCUGACAAACUCAACGAGACAAUGAAUGAACCAGAAUAAAUAAUCAUCUAUUUUUUUUUCUCCCUGAACAUUUCUACAGUUGAGACAGUCUUAGAAUUUCUCUCUUGCAUGCCAGGAUAUUAGACUGUUGAAAUUGAAUUCUUUUUUUUUUUUGAGACGGAGUCUCGCUCUGUCCCCCAGGCUAGAGUGCAGUGGUGCGAUCUCGGCUCACUGCAACCACCGCCUCCAAGGUUCACGCCAUUCUCCUGCCUCAGCUUCCCGAGUAACUGGGACUACAGGCACCCGCCACGACACCUAACUAAUUUUUUUGUAUUUUUUAGUAGAGACGGGGUUUCACCGUGUUAGCCACGAUGGUCUUGAUCUCCUGACCUCGUGAUCCGCCUGCCUCGGUCUCCCAAAGUGCUGGAAUUACAGGCGUCAACCACCGCGCCCGGCUGAAAUUGAAUUUCUUUCUUUUCACCAACUCGAAUUUCUUCUUCUCAUGUAAGGUCAUCUUACAUAAGUGAGACUCCUUUGUUCCCUUUCCCUUAAUAACAAGCCUACACGGAGGCGAAGGUGGUGAACGCACCUCUUCUCAUCUCAAAACACCCACGUGCUCUUCCAUUUUUUUCUAACAAAGAAGGGAGAGGAGGUGACAUGAAAACACACCAUGGAUAUUGCUCAGCAUUUGUAAAAGCUGAAAGUAUCACUUGGUACACAAACUGCUUUUUGCACUACAACCUCCAGAAGAAAGCGAACGCAAUUCCCCACCACCACAAAUUACAGUCCAGUUUCCCCACAUGUGGAAGUAACAGGAGUCAGUCAGCACAUACUGAGUACAAUGGAGAAAUCGCCCCCGAAAAACACCAACUUCAUGGCCGUAUUUUCUCCUGUUACGUGGCCACAGAGUGCAUGUGCUAUGAGGGACCCGUCCGACAUAUACCCUCCCAGAAGAGCAGGAAAGGGGGUUCAUAAAGAUGUUCUUCUGAUGGGGAGUGUCCUAUAAGGCCACCUUCACAUGAGAAAGCACCUCUUCAAAGACACACACCAGAGACUGUCUCUUCCCGGACUGCAAACUGAUCUCACCAAUAAAAUUCUACCUACUAUGUAGCCACCCUGGAGGCCUUUGAGAGGACGGUCAGAUGGUCAGAGAUAAGUUGCUCUGAAUCCUGCUCCCAGGGCCAAAAACAUCGACCUAGAAGGAAGGGGCUUAAGCACAACAUAUGAUUUAAAGAGUUUGUUUGAGCCAGUGUGAGGAUAGUUGCCCAGAAGGCUCAGAGCCAAGCAAUCUUGGAUAUGGGUUCUGUUUGGCCUUUGUUACAAGCAGGGAGGAUCGCAGCGCAUUUCGGCCAAGACAGGUGAGACUGCGGUUCUGACCUGCGGGCCUCGAUGAAUUGCGUUAGGACACCUGGGCUCCGGGAGAGCCGUUCCACUCCGCAAAGUAAGCGUGUUAUGUCUACAACCCAACGGGGACGCGCUAAGAGCCCCAAAGGCCCUGCUUUCAUCCCAAAGAACAGCCCCCGCCUGCGUAGUUUGUACCCGGCUCUAUGAGGUGAGAACACAUUCCCCGAUAGCACAGAAAUCCUACAAACUCCUGAGGGGGCUGCGGCUAGAAGCAGACGCUGUGUGAAAUGUGACUGGAGGUUAGGGAAAAACACGUAGAUUUUCACAGACCCUGAGAACCCAAGAGACUGCAGACCAUGGACAGACAAAUCUCUGCAAAAAGCAGCCCCGCGUAGAUAAAGGAAGAGCUGUGCGGCCUUCGCGCUAGCUAGCUUGUGUAAAGGUCGACGCUUCUUAUUUCUCCCGAGGCGGGGAGAAAGCGACAUAUUACUACUAUUCCUCAACCUCCGACUGUGAGAGAAACGAUUAAGAGUAAAGCACAAGCCAGUAAAAAAAACAAGUAACCCUCGCCGUGCAGACUGUUCUUUAAACUACAAAAAUCAGGGGAAAGCGCGAACGCAGUCCCCCACUACCACAAAUUAUGCAGUCGAGUUUCCCACAUUUGGGGAAAUCGCAGGGGUCAGCACAUCCGGAGUGCAAUGGAUAAGCCUCGCCCUGGGAAAACCACCUUCGUGAUCAUGGUAUCUCCCCUGCCAGGU